GCACUAGUAGCUCAGAGAAAGAGCGCCGGUC
rnacentral:tRNA from 1 species